rnacentral:rRNA from 1 species
UACGGAGGGUGCAAGCGUUAUCCGGAUUCACUGGGUUUAAAGGGUGCGUAGGUGGGCAGGUAAGUCAGUGGUGAAAUCUCCGGGCUUAACUCGGAAACUGCCAUUGAUACUAUCUGUCUUGAAUACCGUGGAGGUCAGCGGAAUAUGUCAUGUAGCGGUGAAAUGCUUAGAUAUGACAUAGAACACCAAUUGCGAAGGCAGCUGGCUACACGAAUAUUGACACUAAUGCACGAAAGCGUGGGGAUCAAACAGG